GUCUACGCCAUGCUACCCUGAACAAGCCCGAUCCCAGCUGAUCUCGGAAGCUAAGCAGGGUCGAGCCUGGUUAGUACUUGGAUGUGAGACCACCUAGGAAGACCAGAUGCUAUAGGCG
rnacentral:rRNA from 1 species